rnacentral:tRNA from 1 species
GGGGUUGUAGUCUAACUUGGUAGGACUCGCGGUUCGGGGCCGUGCAAUCCGGGUUCAAAUCCUGGCAACCCCA